AGCUUUUGCGGUGUGGGAUGGGCCCGCGGCCUAUCAGCUUGUUGGUGGGGUAAUGGCCUACCAAGGCGACGACGGGUAGCCGGCCUGAGAGGGUGUCCGGCCACACUGGGACUGAGAUACGGCCCAGACUCCUACGGGAGGCAGCAGUGGGGAAUAUUGCACAAUGGGCGCAAGCCUGAUGCAGCGACGCCGCGUGAGGGAUGACGGCCUUCGGGUUGUAAACCUCUUUCAGCAGGGACGAAGCGCAAGUGACGGUACCUGUAGAAGAAGGACCGGCCAACUACGUGCCAGCAGCCGCGGUAAUACGUAGGGUCCGAGCGUUGUCCGGAAUUACUGGGCGUAAAGAGCUCGUAGGUGGUUUGUCGCGUUGUUCGUGAAAACUCACAGCUUAACUGUGGGCGUGCGGGCGAUACGGGCAGACUUGAGUACUGCAGGGGAGACUGGAAUUCCUGGUGUAGCGGUGGAAUGCGCAGAUAUCAGGAGGAACACCGGUGGCGAAGGCGGGUCUCUGGGCAGUAACUGACGCUGAGGAGCGAAAGCGUGGGGAGCGAACAGGAUUAGAUACCCUGGUAGUCCACGCCGUAAACGGUGGGUACUAGGUGUGGGUUUCCUUCCUUGGGAUCCGUGCCGUAGCUAACGCAUUAAGUACCCCGCCUGGGGAGUACGGCCGCAAGGCUAAAACUCAAAGAAAUUGACGGGGGCCCGCACAAGCGGCGGAGCAUGUGGAUUAAUUCGAUGCAACGCGAAGAACCUUACCUGGGUUUGACAUGCACAGGACGUGCCUAGAGAUAGGUAUUCCCUUGUGG
rnacentral:rRNA from 1 species